rnacentral:rRNA from 2 species
UUUAAAAUGAGAGUUUGAUCCUGGCUCAGGAUAAACGCUGGCGGCAUGCCUAAUACAUGCAAGUCGAACGGAGGUGCUUGCACCUCAGUGGCGAACGGGUGAGUAACACGUAUCUAAUCUACCUUCUAGCGGGGGAUAACUUUUGGAAACGAAAGGUAAUACCGCAUGUGGAUGUUAUUAUCGCAUGAGAAAACAUUCAAAGAUCCGUUUGGAUCACUAGAAGAUGAGGAUGCGGCGUAUUAGCUAGUAGGCGGGGUAAAGGCCCACCUAGGCGAUGAUACGUAGCCGAACUGAGAGGUUGAUCGGCCACAUUGGGACUGAGAUACGGCCCAGACUCCUACGGGAGGCAGCAGUAGGGAAUUUUUCACAAUGGACGAAAGUCUGAUGAAGCAAUGCCGCGUGAGUGAUGACGGCCUUCGGGUUGUAAAGCUCUGUUGUAAGGGAAGAAAACAUAGGAGAGGAAAUGCUCUUAUCUUGACGGUACCUUACCAGAAAGCCACGGCUAACUAUGUGCCAGCAGCCGCGGUAAUACAUAGGUGGCAAGCGUUAUCCGGAUUUAUUGGGCGUAUAGGGUGCGUAGGCGGUUUCGCAAGUUUGAGGUUAAAGCCCGGAGCUCAACUCCGGUUCGCCUUGAAAACUGCGGGACUAGAAUAUCAGAGAGGUAAGCGGAAUUCCAUGUGUAGCGGUAAAAUGCGUAGAUAUAUGGAAGAACACCAGUGGCGAAAGCGGCUUACUGGCUGAUUAUUGACGCUGAGGCACGAAAGCGUGGGGAGCAAAUAGGAUUAGAUACCCUAGUAGUCCACGCCGUAAACGUUGAGUACUAAGUAUUGGGGAUUACCUCAGUGCUGCAGCUAACGCAUUAAGUACUCCGCCUGAGUAGUAUGCUCGCAAGAGUGAAACUCAAAGGAAUUGACGGGGACCCGCACAAGUGGUGGAGCAUGUGGUUUAAUUCGAAGCAACACGAAGAACCUUACCAGGGCUUGACAUACAGUGCAAAGCUACAGAGAUGUAGUGGAGGUUAACAUUGAUACAGGUGGUGCAUGGUUGUCGUCAGUUCGUGCCGUGAGGUGUUGGGUUAAGUCCCGCAACGAACGCAACCCUUGUCGUUAGUUACUAACAUUAAGUUGAGGACUCUAACGAGACUGCUAGUGUAAGCUAGAGGAAGGUGGGGAUGACGUCAAAUCAUCAUGCCCCUUAUGUCCUGGGCUACACACGUGCUACAAUGGCCGAUACAAAGAGUCGCAAUCUCGCGAGGGGGAGCUAAUCUCAAAAAGUCGGUCUCAGUUCGGAUUGAAGUCUGCAACUCGACUUCAUGAAGCCGGAAUCACUAGUAAUCGCGAAUCAGCUAUGUCGCGGUGAAUACGUUCUCGGGUCUUGUACACACCGCCCGUCAAACCACGAGAGUUGGUAAUACCAGAAGUACGUUUCCUAACCGUAAGGAAGGCGCGUCCCAAGGUAGGACUAGCGAUUGGGG